UACGUAGGGUGCAAGCGUUGUCCGGAAUUAUUGGGCGUAAAGAGCUCGUAGGCGGUCUGUCACGUCGGCUGUGAAAUCCCCGAGGCUCAACCUCGGGUCUGCAGUCGAUACGGGCAAACUAGAGUAUUGCAGGGGAGACUGGAAUUCCUGGUGUAGCGGUGAAAUGCGCAGAUAUCAGGAGGAACACCGGUGGCGAAGGCGGGUCUCUGGGCAAUAACUGACGCUGAGGAGCGAAAGCGUGGGGAGCGAACAGG
rnacentral:rRNA from 1 species